rnacentral:lncRNA from 1 species
UUUGAAUACCUUUAAGACGGUACAUACAAAAUAAACAUAAACUAUCUUCAACAAUCGGAGACAAUAACUAAUAACUGCACGUAGUCUAAUCGAAUCGACGAACUUUUUAACCAUCAUGAACGUUUCUUGACACAAAUCUCAAUUUUAAAAAGCAUUUUUUACCCCAGUCAUCCCAGAAAGAAAUUCCUCUUACAAAUCAAAAUUUUCGAGUCCUAUUUUAUAACUCCACGUUUUAGUCAUUAUAUCCAUCUUGAAUCACCGGCAUAAAAUGAACUAUUGCGAAUAAUUCACAUUUAUAGUUAUUUCUGUUUUACUUACAAUUUCAAUGUAGGUGCAGGUGAGAAAGAGGCCUGCAAGUUAAGUCACCUCACGGCGAGAGGGGAGGCUGCCCUUUACGGUACACGCGAUGCCCACGGCGCAUCAAGCGCAAAACAACAACACACUGGCGAGCGGGUUGCAUCUCGAAUUUCCGAAGGCUCCCCGAUCGCGAAAUUACCUCGCGAAACCUGUUGUUCCGCCACAGGGCGCGCGCUAAGCCGAGGAAGGGAUGGAACAGGGACAGCGAACCGAAAAGAAGGCGUUAGGACGGUGCGCGUUACGGUUGCCCUUUGGAAUAUGAGGAUGCAGGGCAGGAUUGAGGCGCAAAGGCUGCUACCGGACCUUUAAACCCACAGCCCAUUAUUAGAGACCGAGAAUGGACAGCCGGGCGCUGAAUCCAAAGGUUUAAUUUGAAAACCCAAACAAGGAAGAAGAAUGAGACCGUGCGAAGCGCGGCGCGGGGCGCCUCUCGCCAGAAGCCGGCCGCGGCGAGAAGUUUCUAAACAACGUGAAUAGAGAGUGGCCAAAGGUCAGUUCGUCAUUGUUUACUGCCCGUGCGCAAACGCACAGUGUACUCGGCCCGACUGGGGUCGACAUCAUGCAUUAUCGACUUAUUGCAUGAUGAUUCGCAAGGUGUAUUUUACAAUUGAACUGCAUUUUGCAAUGUGGAACUAUAAUUUCUGGCUCUCCUGGAAAAACACUUAUUUAGAUAGGGAAACUAAUGGCACAUACGUUGUUUUCAAAGCGGGCUAAAACUUUUAGUUCCAAAUUGCAAAAUGUAGUCCAAUGAGUGGUCCACAACUUGAUAGAGAGAGUAUCGCCAUAUUGCUACAGCUUUUGAUUGGCUCCUCUAUCUUGAGCUUUACGGAGCUCUUAGGAAAUGGCGGACGGUGUAAGCAAAUGAUAAUAAAAAAGGGCUUAAAAUGUAGUUAUAUAGUUUCAAAUAAAACACCAGUAACUUAACUCACAAAAAAGCUGUCCUUUUGUAGUUUUGCAUGAGUGUACUCAAAACAUUUUCUGCCUGUUUCUUGGGCUCAAAUCGGAGUGUUGUAUGCAUAGCCCAAAACGUGGCCACACAGAGGAUAGCACAUUCUGCUGUCUUGUCUUAUAUGAGUCGAAUGAUUAACAUGAUUUACGGUAAAACU